GGGAGGGGUUGCCCCUCGGGAAUAGAAUUUUUUUUUGUUAUGCACUGUUCAAGGUGAAUUUUAAUGCAUAUAGAAACAUAUGUUGUGUUAUAAAUUUAAGGAUAUCUAACAAGUACUUAGUAUCACUGACAAAAACUAUAACAAUGGUCAAGCUUAGUUUUAUACAUGAAAAUGAAAGAGUUUGUGUUUCACUUUGAUUUUUUUCUUUAUGUUUGUUUUUAUUAUAAACAAUAUCUUAUGAUUGUUUUAUGUCUUAAUUUUUUAUUUUUUUUAAACAAUCUCAUAUGAUUGUUUAUAUUUGUUUAAAACAGUAUUUACUUGUUAAAUCUGCAUAUUUAAAUAAUUAUGGUAUUGGAAACAUUAUUUUGGAAAUAAUCUAUUUAUUUUUGUACAUAAGUUAUGCAAGAUUUUGAUAUUUGCAUAUGAUACCAUCAUAUCCAUUUUCUUAAUUUGCAAUAAAAUAAUAAAAUGCCAAACAUGACCUGUGUUACAUAAACUGUCAACAAAAUAACAAGACAAUACCUAAAAACACCCUUAUUUCACACCACUAACAAUAAACAGAUAACAAUCUGGCAGGCAUUCAGAGCUAAACAGGGUACUGAUUAUCUAGGGGUAGAUAAGGCUACUGAUGGGGUUUGCCUAGAGAUAAGGCUGUGUGGAAUACGAUAUAAGGCUUUUGAUUGGCUAUUGCACUGAGGAAGUUAUCUUUUUGAAAACAACAACUUUUGAAAAAUAAGCUGGUGUCAGCAAUUGAAUAUUGAGCUAAAUUUAAUUCAGCAACAUUAAUAUAAAGAAGUGAAAGACUUAUAAUGGUAGUGUAAAAUGUCUUGAAAUUCUGUCAGCAUGAAGUAUUGUGUGAUGAAAACAAUGUGUUUUUUACUGCAAUGUGGAAAUCAAUAAUAAGUUGGUUGGAAAGGAGGUUGAACUGCCUGUUGUUGUUUUUGGAAUACUGAAGAACAGUUUUAACAGGUUAAACUCUUGCCACAAGGCAAAAUUGACAUCGAUGGGAAGAUCCUUUGGAAAGAAUGUGCAUCAUCGCCUGCCUGAUGUAUGGACUUUUAAACCUGGUUUUUACCCUGCACAAGCUGGCAAACUUGAGGGGAACAAGAGUGGGAAAACCUCGCCCAGUCCUUGACCAAGAAAGCUCGAUUUGUUGAGAGAUCAACUGGCAUAAGAGAUGCUCAAGAGGAGAAGGACACAAGCAGCAUCAAUGGUACAACUACGUGUCGCUCCAGCGCCCGCUUUCCAGGUCUCUACCAGCUGCUUUCCAGGUCCCUCCACCCGCCAAGAUCAGGUCUAAUUCCCUGCACUGGCUGCUUUCCAGGUCCCCUAGCAGUCAAGGUCUCUCCAGUAGCUGCUGUGCAGGUCCCAACACCGUAUGCCGUCAAGGUCACUCCAUAAGCUGAAAUCCAGGUUCCUCAUUCCACUGCGGUGCAGGUACCUCCAACAGCUGAGAUCCAGGUCUCUGCAGCAGCUGCGGUCUAAAUACUCCACCCGCAGUGGUCCAUUGCGGUCAACCUUUUGCUUUAAAAUCUUCCAUAAAUGUCUAUUAUUUUAUAAUGUAUUGUAAAAAUAAUCUGUUUGUAUAAAUUUGCGGUGUACUAUUUUUGUCAUAUAAACAUAAUUUUCGUA